AAAUUGAAGAGUUUGAUCAUGGCUCAGAUUGAACGCUGGCGGCAGGCCUAACACAUGCAAGUCGAGCGGAAACGAGUUAUCAGAACCUUCGGGGGACGAUAACGGCGUCGAGCGGCGGACGGGUGAGUAAUGCCUAGGAAAUUGCCCUGAUGUGGGGGAUAACCAUUGGAAACGAUGGCUAAUACCGCAUGAUGCCUACGGGCCAAAGAGGGGGACCUUCGGGCCUCUCGCGUCAGGAUAUGCCUAGGUGGGAUUAGCUAGUUGGUGAGGUAAGGGCUCACCAAGGCGACGAUCCCUAGCUGGUCUGAGAGGAUGAUCAGCC
rnacentral:rRNA from 1 species